UGGGGAAUAUUGCACAAUGGAGGGAACUCUGAUGCAGCGACGCCGCGUGAACGAAGAAGGCUUUCGAGUCGUAAAGUUCUUUUAUAUGGGAAGAUAAUGACGGUACCAUAAGAAGAAGCCCCGGCUAACUACGUGCCAGCAGCCGCGGUAAUACGUAGGGGGCUAGCGUUGUCCGGAAUCACUGGGCGUAAAGGGUUCGCAGGCGGAAAUGCAAGUCAGGUGUAAAAGGCAGUAGCUUAACUACUGUAAGCAUUUGAAACUGCAUAUCUUGAGAAGAGUAGAGGUAAGUGGAAUUUUUAGUGUAGCGGUGAAAUGCGUAGAUAUUAAAAAGAACACCGGUGGCGAAGGCGACUUACUGGGCUCAUUCUGACGCUGAGGAACGAAAGCGUGGGUAGCAAACAGG
rnacentral:rRNA from 1 species